GCCGGGCAUGGUGGCGCUCGCCUGUAGUCCCAGCUACUCGGGAGGCUGAGGUGGGAGGAUUGCUUGAGCCCAGGAGUUUGAGGCUACAGUGAGCUAUAAUCAUACCACUGCACUCCAGCCUGGGCAACAGAGCGAGACCCUGUCUCUU
ensembl:misc_RNA Metazoa_SRP Metazoan signal recognition particle RNA